AACUCUGGGCUUUUAGUGGAGUUCCUGUUUGCAGAACAGCUUUCUGAAUGGCUCUCCCUUCACUAGUCAGGGGAGGGUGAGGAAAUAGCUAAAAGGCUGUAGAAAACAGCAUAGGAGCUUAGAAAGAAUGGAGAGGCAUUUGGAAGAAGAGCUAAAUCUAUUGGGGAUCUUGUUUUUGCAGUGUUGAUGCUUGGGAGGCAAGGCAAACUUGUAAGAAGCAGAAUCUUAGUCUCACAAACGCUGGAAUUGUGAACACUGGAUCUUCUUUUAACAAGGCAGAAGAGUACCUUUAAGCUGGCAGGCAAGGAAAUCAGAUGUGCAUCAAACGAAACCAUUUGUCAUGGAUUAGUGCAUGCAAAUGCCUUGAUGACAGCAGCAGACAAAAGCUUGCAAGUGCCUGAGUGCUACGUUUGGGGGAGAAAAUUAAUGAGGGCAGAAUACUGUGGAUAGCAGCCUCCAGAUGAGUUUAUCUGGCCCUACAAGUACCAGAACUUCAUCCUUUAUGUCCCCAAAGUUUUCCUGUCUUGAUCCUGCAGUGACAUUAUGACAUUUUGGUGAGGAUAUGAUCGCACAACGUUGUUUGGCAGCUUCCCUCAUAAAAUGAUUUCCUGAAUUUUUGGACUGUAUUAGAAUUGGUGUAGAGUUUAUAGUUGUGCUGUUUUGUCAUAACUGGAUAUACGUUUCUUUUAAGACUUGUGCUCUGUAAGUCACCCCAAGUCAUGUUGGGUGUCAAAUUCAAUCUCCCUUGAAUUUUUUUUCCCAUAUAUGUACAUAUUCUGAAAUGUUUUCUGGUGUUUUUCUUGUUUUUUCUACUAAACUGUUGGUUUAGUGAACGACUCKGAAGUUCUUGGAAAUGUACUCUAACCCAAUAUGGGAUGGAACAGGGAUUGAACUUGAUCUAAUUUGAGCAGACCAAACAUGGUCUKCUUUGACCGUGAGCUCCAGAAGCCCUUUUUAACCCACUAGUUCUGCAGAUCUUUCAGAAUCCCCAAAACAGCCAAAAAUAAACAAGCAAAAAGGAAACAGAGCAAGCAAGAUACCUCUAUCCUCGGAUCCCAGUGUAACAGCAUGUGUAGGUACUUGCCAGGAAUAGCGGGAAAAUUCCAGUUCAACUGCUUUUCCUUAAGGAAUUUGAAUUAUUUGCUAUAUUUCUUAUUUCUGUUCUGCAGAAGGCGUAGAGGGGAUCUAUGUAGAUAGAAACAACCACCACAAAGCAAUAUGAAACUUAUACUGACAUUCCCUGAUAAAGGUUUGUCUUUAGUAUGCUGCUGUCUGCAUCUGAUGGGCUUGUGCUCUUUAGAAGGUCAGAAGAGGUCAUCCCUUAGUCCUGAAAGCCCCUAUGAAUUUAAGUCGGCUGUAGGAAGUCUAGAUAGAGUUUAAAAUGCAACCCUGCUUUCAAAUGUAAAUGUAGCAAAAUCUUUCU